AAAACAGAGGACAUCAAGUAAAACUUAAAUUUCUGAUUAAUGACAAAUAGUCUUUAGACAAAUAUGUCCCAUGAAAUAAUUGGGACAUACUUAUACUAAACAAAUUUAUUAUUUAUCUGCAAUUCAAAUUUAACUGGACAUAUUGUAUUUU
rnacentral:miRNA from 1 species